rnacentral:ribozyme from 1 species
NNNNAAUAUAUAUAUAUAUAUAUAGUAACAUGUCUCUCAAUUAUACAAGCUUGGGUAUACGGAGAAAACCCAUCCCCUUGGGCGGAUGAGUUGCAUCGCUAAAUUGAGAGGG